GAUGAACGCUGGCGGCGUGCCUAAUACAUGCAAGUCGAGCGAACGGACGAGAAGCUUGCUUCUCUGAUGUUAGCGGCGGACGGGUGAGUAACACGCGGAUAACCUACCUAUAAGACUGGGAUAACUUCGGGAAACCGGAGCUAAUACCGGAUAAUAUUUUGAACCGCAUGGUUCAAAAGUGAAAGACGGUCUUGCUGUCACUUAUAGGUGGAUCCGCGCUGCAUUAGCUAGUUGGUAAGGUAACGGCUUACCAAGGCAACGAUGCAUAGCCGACCUGAGAGGGUGAUCGGCCACACUGGAACUGAGACACGGUCCAGACUCCUACGGGAGGCAGCAGUAGGGAAUCUUCCGCAAUGGGCGAAAGCCUGACGGAGCAACGCCGCGUGAGUGAUGAAGGUCUUCGGAUCGUAAAACUCUGUUAUUAGGGAAGAACAUAUGUGUAAGUAACUGUGCACAUCUUGACGGUACCUAAUCAGAAAGCCACGGCUAACUACGUGCCAGCAGCCGCGGUAAUACGUAGGUGGCAAGCGUUAUCCGGAAUUAUUGGGCGUAAAGCGCGCGUAGGCGGUUUUUUAAGUCUGAUGUGAAAGCCCACGGCUCAACCGUGGAGGGUCAUUGGAAACUGGAAAACUUGAGUGCAGAAGAGGAAAGUGGAAUUCCAUGUGUAGCGGUGAAAUGCGCAGAGAUAUGGAGGAACACCAGUGGCGAAGGCGACUUUCUGGUCUGUAACUGACGCUGAUGUGCGAAAGCGUGGGGAUCAAACAGGAUUAGAUACCCUGGUAGUCCACGCCGUAAACGAUGAGUGCUAAGUGUUAGGGGGUUUCCGCCCCUUAGUGCUGCAGCUAACGCAUUAAGCACUCCGCCUGGGGAGUACGACCGCAAGGUUGAAACUCAAAGGAAUUGACGGGGACCCGCACAAGCGGUGGAGCAUGUGGUUUAAUUCGAAGCAACGCGAAGAACCUUACCAAAUCUUGACAUCCUUUGACAACUCUAGAGAUAGAGCUUUCCCCUUCGGGGGACAAAGUGACAGGUGGUGCAUGGUUGUCGUCAGCUCGUGUCGUGAGAUGUUGGGUUAAGUCCCGCAACGAGCGCAACCCUUAAGCUUAGUUGCCAUCAUUAAGUUGGGCACUCUAAGUUGACUGCCGGUGACAAACCGGAGGAAGGUGGGGAUGACGUCAAAUCAUCAUGCCCCUUAUGAUUUGGGCUACACACGUGCUACAAUGGACAAUACAAAGGGCAGCGAAACCGCGAGGUCAAGCAAAUCCCAUAAAGUUGUUCUCAGUUCGGAUUGUAGUCUGCAACUCGACUACAUGAAGCUGGAAUCGCUAGUAAUCGUAGAUCAGCAUGCUACGGUGAAUACGUUCCCGGGUCU
rnacentral:rRNA from 1 species